CCAGACAUGGAAAACACAACAACAGGAAAAGUGUUCCCGAUGUCCGGAUUUGGUGAACCCUGGUGUUUAGUGUACCAUUGAUAAUUGUCCAACAACACGAAUCCAUGGAAAGUUGGCUGCCCAUCUUCGCUUGAGAAUGAGUCUCGUUUUUAAUUUGUUCACUUCACCUUCCAGCCCAGUAGGGAGCGGUAAUACGUUGACCAGAAGAAGACCCCUCCCAUCUCCCCGUCAUACAGGCUGUGGCUUGCGAAUCUCCCAAUUUUGUGGGCUUUGUGCGCAAACGACGUUGUGAUGUUUGUGUGGACCGUUCAGCUCAGACAUCUGAACUAGUUCAUCGGUGGAACUAUGCUGAACCCGGCUCAAGAGGACAGUGUGCCAAACCCAGUGAACACUCAGUCCACACUGGAGCCACUGGACAAUGACACUGAUUCUACUAAGACAGCACCAAGUGAAGCAGGUGCACAAGAAGAGGGGAAUACAUCUUUCAAAGAGAAGAGCGCAACUCUAACUGAUAAAACACUCGCUGUUAAUUCGCUUGAACAAGCUGAAAGGAUGGUUGAACCAUCAGAAACCACUGAAGAGAUGGAAGUUGAUCAGUGUCCAAAGUCAAAUCCUCCAUUAGAGUUGACGCCUAAUCCAACCAGAAAUCCUGGGACUAACGAACAAGAGCCAAAGAAAAAGGGCAGGUAUUACCCUUCCAAGAAAGCAAUGACAGAUCCUCUGAAGAUGGAUAUGACCAAGCCAGUGGUCAUGCCACUCACAUCAUCAGAACUCUCCUUGCAGUGCAUCGAAUGCCACAUCAUCUUCAGCGAUACCAAGAGUAAACUGCGGCACCUGAAGUUGAGCCAUCCAGCCGAGUAUGAGCAGUGCAUCCUGAGGAAUUCUCUUUUCACUUGCUACCAUUGUGACCGCCAAUUCACUAACUCCACUGAGCUCAUGGCCCAUCAGAAAACCCACAUUGAAAAGAAACCAUUUAAGUGUCCUCUAUGCGGCCAAGCUUUUAAAAAGUUAUCAGAGCUUACACGUCAUAAAAAGAUUCAUAUCGGCCUGGAUGGUUACACCUGCCCCGACUGUGGUAAAACAUGCAAAACUACAACGCUGCUGAAGUACCACAGCCGCAUACACACUGGAGAGAAGCCAUAUGUUUGCAAGGAGUGUGGAAACAGGUUCAGCAUGUCCCAAGCACUGCAGAAACAUAUGCAGUCACACUUACCGGAAGGUGAACAAAAAGAGGGCGAAGCCAAAAUCAAAGCAAAAAGGAAAAGAGAGCUUGAUGCCUUAAAGCCUAAGUAUCCCUGCUCCAUUUGUAAGGCCACUUUCAAAAGUCCCAAGACACGCCUUCAUCAUCUUACAAAGAAGCACAGUUUGUCACUCACUUCACUUGGUAACCCCCUGAGACCUAAAACACAUGCAAAUCAGUUUACUCCAGUAAUUACGCCAUUAUCUAUUCCCCAAUCGUCGUUGCUACAGUUGGAGCAUAAUGGGCCACUUCAAAAAGUUGACAGCAAUAUUGACACAGAGCCAAUACGCAGGCUAAUCGAAUCUUUGGGAAAUGUCCAGAAAGUAAACCAAGUUGUGAUUUUGGGUCAAGUGCCUCCUCAUGCUCCCCCAUUAGAAGUACAACAGAUCUCUGACCUGUCCAAACCGGUCAAUUUAAACGUCAGUCUGCCCCAAUCAGAUUCUUUAAAUUUGACACCGGUUGAGUCAAAGACUUUGGAGGGAGAUUUAUGUGAUCCGAUGUUACAAACUAUCAUACUAGAACCAAUCACGCCAGAUGGACAGCUGAUCAACCCGCCCUUGUCAAAUAUGGACACGCAUGAAUUGUCAGGUGAAUGCCUCACACUUAGUUUUGCUCCAAGUGGACACAGCUUGGAACCGGAGGGAACGGUGAUGGAUCAAAUUCAUUCACAAUCUGGGAUUAAUGAAACAGACUCUAAUGCGUUCGAGCCAUCGGUUUUCCAUAAUGAAGGAACAGACCUCAAACAAGACCUUGACCAAAGUGUCGUACUGGGACUAACUCCUGCCCUGACACCAACUGCUGAGCUGCAACAAUCACAAAAUGAGCAACAACUGGAAAUCCCACCACCCUUUUUGGUACCUACCACAGAACUGGAGAAAACUACUUAUCAAAAUAUGGUAAAUGAGACCGAUAUUGGCUCACCAGUCCCAUCAUUUGAGCCUACUGUUGAAGAGAACUUGACAUCUUCACAAAAUGAAGUCACAUUGUUGGGGCCUGCAGUUGGACAGAGCAUGACAUCUUUACAAACCAAUCAACAAGAUCUCGCUACUUCUACUUUUGCCUCUCUGCAUCCUCCCACACAUGAUUUAGAAGAACCUGAAGCUAACUCACAGGAGAAUGUUCAAUCACAAGUUGGUCAAGUCCAGGUCUGCUUAUUAUCCAAUAGUGGGACGCCCCAGGAGUCUGAUUAUCAGUCUACACAAGAUAAAGAAGUUGGUCGAAAGGAAGUAAAGGAACAGGAGGAAAGUAGUUCUUCUAAAAAUGAGGGCCCUUCACAAACAUCCAGCCAGCAAGAACCACAAAAGGAUCAGGUGGAAAGUAUUUCUUCUAAAAAUGAGGACCCUUCACAAUCAUCCAGCCAGCAAGAACCACAGACCGUAGAAUUACCUGUAAAUGUCAUGUCAGCGCAAGAGCUUGUGAAAGUACGCAAAAGGAAGCCAGCCAGGGCCUUAAUAAUACAAGGUUAUAUGCAAGAACUGAUUGGGUCCAUAAUUGAUAAGGAUUUAGAAAGUGUUGCUAAACGCAAAAGAACAAACAAAUCUAAUCUCGUUAACGUCAGCCCUCAAAAGAAAGUGAAGAAUAACAAAAAACAAAAAUUACCUUCGCAGCAAUGCCAGUCUUCCCAAGAAGAACCAAAAACUAAUCAGGCAACAAAACUCUUGGAGAAUAAAGUGCCAUUAAAAAAGAAGGGAAACAUUUCCAUUAAAAGUAAAAAAACAAAGAACAUGGCAUCUUCAACAGGAGUCAAUUUGCUCCCAUUGACCAACAAUUCACAAGGGAAAGCUAAAAUAAGCAAGAAAAAAAUGAAAAAAGACAAUGCGGAAAGACAUCAAAAUAAAAGUAAACAAAAGGCUGUAAUUAAAAAGAAAAUGCAGUCCAAAGUAGGGCAAAAAGGUAAUCUAAAAAAAACUAAAUUGGCAAAUAAAGGGCCGAAGAAGAAGGACGAAACAAAGAGCCCAAAAAACAACCAAACUAAAGUGCAAGUAGAGUCACCCAACACACAAGUCAUACAAGACUCUCUCCUUUUGCUGAAAGGUCAUAAGCAGCCCCAGUUGAAGGUUCACAAAUUGGACCCUUCUAAAGCAUCUGGGCAAGAAACAUCACCUCGGGAUAACCGAUCCCAGCACAGCAAAGGAAACCAGGCAAAACAAAAAAAAACAAAGAAUGCCAGCAAUGUUGCUAAGAAAAAAGGGAAACCCAAAAAGACUCAAAAAGCCCUCUCGUUGCUGUCAUUUUUAAAUGCCUCCCAUCAAGUACCGGAAACCCAGCUUGUCAAGCCAAAGACCACUCGAAAACGCAAAGCUCCCACAAAUGUGGAGACUGAAGGGGUGAUAACCGCCGCACAUUCCAAGCGUGCCUUAGAGUGUAAAAACUGUGGGGAGAUAUUUAGUGAGGUUGCCUCGCUUCAGAAGCACAAGGCGAUGGUCCAUAUCUUAGAAAGUCCUGAGCUCACAUACACAAAUGGGAAUGUUUUUGAAGGUGUCUCCAGAUUAGAUGUUGACCAUCAAGAAAGAGCUAUUGGACUGAUGAAUCCGACUACUGGUUGGGAUAUUGAACCUGACGCCGCUUUGGAGGACAGGGAAAGAAGUGUCUCCUUUCCUGCUUUGAUUCCAUCUCCAUCUUUACCUUCUCAACCUCUCGAUGAAGGCAGUGUUCAGCCUCAUGUCGCUCCAAAACCACCCAAUUUGAUGAAAACCAUAACUUGUAAUCUGGAUCCUCUCUUUAAUAGCAACACUCAAAUGAAGAAAAAUGAAUCUGUUGUUUCCCUGGAUGAACAGCAAAAAAAAUGUAUGCCCAGGAGCCUCUGUUUAGAAUCUGAACACCAAUCCCCUGUAGAAACUGGCAUUAAGGAGGAUGCUAUGUUCGCGGUGGACCUUGUUACCAUUGGCGAGUACAAUGAAAGUGGUAGUAUAUCUUCUCUUCAAGAAACCCUUUCUCAAAGUGGUUCCAUUGAAGCUCCCUGUUCUGAUGCACAUCCCCUGGAAAAGACAAGUGAUCAUCCAACCACAGUGAGAUGUUUGCAGUCAGUCUCCUGCUCCACACAGCAAAUGGACUUUAAAGAUGAGGAAGAAGAGGUGUUAGUCCAGAAGAAAAAGGAUGCAGGAAAAGAGGGUAAACGACUAGGAGGAGCUCAUCGAAAAGUGGACACAAUAGCUAGGGGAUGUUUUCCAGAUUCUGUUAAAGGAAUGGAAUUGCAGGUGGAACAGGAGGAAUGUCAUGAUAUAUGUAAAAAACUAGAGUGUACUUCCCAAACAAAUGAUGAAAAUGAGACAAUUGCACAGAUUUCCCUCUCAGAUAUUCAUUCUGGACCUGAUGCUCAUAGAGCCACUUCUCCUGCAACUAUUAUUUCUUCAACACCCUCUACAUUGGAUGAAUCCAAUCAAUCUCAGGUGGACCGGGAGAGUCGGCAAUCUCCAGGAAUCUACAUUGAAAAGAUUAUCACAGCUGAACCUGUGUUGGCUAAUAGACAGUCCCACCUAAUGACCACAUGUAUCAAUAAAAGACAGGCUUUGAACACCACUGUUGAGAGUGAAACGCAACAACUGAUCAAGGUUGAAGAGCAUACAUCAGAUCCAAGACUUGGUGCACCGUUGUGUGGUAAAGAGAGCGACAGAUGGGCAGCAGGCAUGCAGCGACAACAGAACCGAGACAUUCAGAGGGUUCUGGUGAAACAGGAGAGCAGAGUUGUACAUGAUGAUGCCCGGUCCACACCUGAUAGCAGACACAGCCAAUUGGAUGUAGAGCAAGUCAAUGAUCAAGACACUUCCAUCCCAGUCACAGACACUGAGGAGACGUCCAGUGACUUCCGCAUGUCCCCUGACUUAACCAACAAGCAGUGCAUCUUCUACCCAGUGAAGAAUGAAGAGUGGGAACUUCCACUGGGUGCGUCUCACACUAAUAGUGGAAGCCCAGAAGUAUCCACUGAUGUCAGACAAACGCUUCAUUCAACCAGAGGCCGUCAUUCAUAUGAAGGCACUCAGCAAGGAUACCAUGAUUUGAGAGGACCAGAUACGAUGGAGGUUCACGACUUUACAGAUGGACAAGCUGAAGCAGAGUGUCAUGAUCCACCGGAUAUGAGGAGCUUUCUCCUGCAGACUUCUGAGGAAGAGGAUGCACGAGUUUUUGAGAUGUCCCAACCUCAUGUUGAUGCGGAAGCAGAGGUCCUGGAUAAUUUCUGCAAGAACCAAGGCGACUGCUCACAAUCAAGUAGAACACAAUUUGUUAACCAAGCAGCAUCAAGGGAGACCAACGAACCCAUUGAGUACUUCUCCAAAUAUUUUGGCUGGGACACCUGGGUAGAAAUGGCCCGCUGCAGCAAUCAAACAUCUGACUGCGUCACUGCAAGAGAAGUAGCCCAGUUUGUUGGGAUCCACAUUGCGAUGGGCACGUUGAAGUUUCCCAGUCCACGGCUCUACUGGGACAACUUGACCAAGGUGCCCUUAAUUGCUGAAGCCAUGCCGCUUCCCCGCUUCCUUCAGCUGUCACGUUUGUUGAAGCUUGCUUCCCCCGAUACGGAGCAACUCAAUGGUAAAAUAAGACAACAAACGUGUGUUGACUUUGCUCAUUCUCCUGCUAACAGGAGCGACCGAAGGGGAUUGUCAAACGACUCUGUGGACCCUUUGUGGAAGGUUGUACCAUUACUGUGCCAUUUCCAAAAAAGAUGCCAGUCACUUAGAAGACAGGGUGACUUUGCUGUGGAUCAGUAUUUGAUUCCCUUGACUGGUAAAGUGCACAAUAACAGGUUAGCUCUUCAUAGCACCACGUUGAUUGGAUUUGAGGGGUUGCUUCUCCAUGUGGAUCUUAAAGUGGAUCUGUCUGAGAAAGAACACGCUGUUGAGAAAAUGGUCCCUAAAGGCAGCACUGUGUUUCUCUGCAAGCAAGAACUCUCCACCCCUGCUAUGCUCGAGCGCCUCCUUGUGGCUGGGAUCCACGGAGCUGGUCGCGUUGGUGGCGCACAGGGUCAGAUCGGGGAUGAAUUCGUGAGCUCGGACGGCAAGCUGAUGCUGCGCAAGUCGCAUCAGGGCUUUAUCCUUUCGACAGCAGGAAACGGUCAGAGAAGAAUGGCCUCUCUGAUGAACAACUUUGAAAAAGCCCAAGCGGCUGCUCGCCUCAACAGAGAUUUGUUGAAUCUUUACUCAAUCCCGGUUUCCACCUCACCAACAGGCUGGCCUCUGGCUGUGCUCUGGUACCUAACAGAUAUGGCUUUAGUCAACUCCUGGCUGUUAUGCAGACAGGUCCAAAUGGUCACAUCUGCACCUUUGUCUCUCAUGGAUUUCAGAUUGUCAGUAGCCAAAGCCUUGAUCGACUCCAGCGGCUCAGACCCGCAGAACUCUGUCCUCCCUCAACACUCCCCGGCAAAAGCUCAUUCCAUAACCGACCCUUCUAAUCCCGGCACGGUACAGGAAAACCCUCUCCCGGAUGCAGCUACACGCUAUGACGGUUCAGGACAUUGGCCAGAGCAGCUCGGUGAGGGCGAAGGGGGCAGGUGUCGUUUCGGUGACUGUCAGAGGACUUCUCGGGUGCUAUGCCUCAAGUGCUGUGUCUUUCUCUGCAUAUCGCGCAACCACAACUGUUUUUUGAAUUUCCACAACCAGGCAAGUUCUGGAAACCUCUAGCACAUGACCUUUCAGUGUUGCUGUAUGUAACUUUUUUGGUGAUAAGUGAGGUCACCGCAACAUACUUGGGUGGACAUAAUGUUAAUUAAUUGAGGACGACAGCUGGUACUUAGAAAUUAAAAUAAUACGUCUGAUUGUAAAUAUAAAGUAUUUCCUAAUAUACCACUUUUUAAUUCCAGGCAUCCAAUAAUGUUCAGGCAUUUAUUUGGGGAGAUGUCCUUGUACAUAUUACAUUUUUCUAUUUUUAUACACAAAUAAUUACGGUAUGUUUAAUUUAAACACUAGUGCAAUAUAGUAAUGAAUGAAUAUUUAAUGACCACACAGCAAGACUGGUGGAAUUUGUCUUCAGUACAGGCUGGUACAGCUUCAAACAAUAAAUUAAUACAGUUGUAAAAUAUUUGAAGCCCUGUUGUAUUUAAUAUUUCAUCAUUUACUGACAUGUGAUUUUUUUUGGUUGUGGUUUGUUCUACAUGCAAAUUGUUAAAUCUGUCCGGGGUGGGCCUAGUGACUCAAAAAACCAUCACAUCGUUUUUACAGAUGGCCCUUUUGUCUCCUCAUGUGUUGUAGUAUAAACCCCUGCAAUGACACGCUGCAAGUAGUCGUCAUCAUAUAGGUUAGAACAGCUAACCAAAAAAAAUUUUUUUUUUUUUUGUCCUCUUGUGAUAUGCCCCAGCCAUGUUGUACUUAUUGAACAAGCCUGUCUUGAAGUAAUAAUAACCUAAUACUGUGUGUUCUCUUCAAGAUUGUAGAACUACAAAUACAUGACACAAUUUUGCACGCCAGUACUGUAUUGAGGAUGUCUUACUGGAUGCACCUCCACGGACAAGAUUGCGUGUCAGGCCUAUAAAUCAUGAACAAUGUUGCUUUGGAGAAAAGUGAAGCGGCAGUGGAGGUCCUGUCCUAAAUAACACAAGUAGGUGAGAUCACCCUAUCCUUCUAAAUUGCCUCAAGAGACCCACACAGACAAAAGGUAUUGAAAAAACAUAAAAGGUAUUUACUAGUUGGGUCCACAGGGUGUUUCGACACAAAGGCAUGAUUUAAUAUGAUUGUUAUUACCUCUACAAUCUAAAUCUUUAGAUCUAAAAUGCAUCCAUUCAUAUUCGUUAAAAAAUAUCUCCCUUAAUCUAUUUUGUACCAUAUAUUCUCGAUCUAGUGUAAUAAAAAAAAUAUUAAUAUAAUACAUGCCUUGGCUUCUGGACUGAUAAAGGAAAAAGUUGCUGCAUUGGUAUAGCUCCCCCCAAGGUUUGUUAUUCAAUCAGUUGUUAAAUGCACAUACCAACAUUGAACAAAAAAAAACGGUUGCGAAAUGAAUUUUUUUCGUCAAUACAUUAUUACAUUUGAGAAUGGUGCCUUUGCCCCUUCCAUAUCGCCA